GCGGGCGUGGCGGAAUUGGUAGACGCGCCAGAUUUAGGUUCUGGUGCCGAGAGGCGUGGGGGUUCAAGUCCCUCCGCCCGCACCA
rnacentral:tRNA from 4 species